UCGGGAAUUUUGGGCAAUGGGCGAAAGCCUGACCCAGCAACGCCGCGUGAAGGAUGAAGUAUUUCGGUAUGUAAACUUCGAAAGAAUAGGAAGAAUAAAUGACGGUACUAUUUAUAAGGUCCGGCUAACUACGUGCCAGCAGCCGCGGUAAUACGGGGGGUGCAAGCGUUAAUCGGAAUUAUUGGGCGUAAAGCGUGCGCAGGCGGUUUUGUAAGUCUGAUGUGAAAUCCCCGGGCUCAACCUGGGAAUUGCAUUGGAGACUGCAAGGCUAGAAUCUGGCAGAGGGGGGUAGAAUUCCACGUGUAGCAGUGAAAUGCGUAGAUAUGUGGAGGAACACCGAUGGCGAAGGCAGCCCCCUGGGUCAAGAUUGACGCUCAUGCACGAAAGCGUGGGGAGCAAACAGGAUUAGAUACCCAUGUAGUCCCUGAGCGGGCUGGCAAGGCGCAU
rnacentral:rRNA from 1 species